rnacentral:sRNA from 1 species
GAGGUCCAAAGAGGAGAGCUGUUCAGCUUACCUGCCACAGAGCUUUUCUGCAUGAACUCUGGAACAGAAAGGCCCUGUAAAGCCCUCAGAGAGAAGAGAGACUCCAGAGAAGGCUCCCUAAGACCUUGAGAGCCAUGACAGGUCCAUCAGCAUGAAGUUGGCCAAGCCAUAGGGCACAGCACCUCCUUGUAACAACUCUAUUGCCCUCUUUGGGAGAUGACAUGAGUGGAACUCACAGCCACCACUACCACCACUUUAGACAGGACUGAGGCCACAUACUCCCCAUUCUCUCGUGGCUUUCCAUCUCAGCCUCGGAGGGCAACAUUGACAAUCCUCCUGGCUUCAGCUAGAGAAGGAUGCUGGAACAAGCGGCUGGUGUUGAAAGAGUGGGUUGACCAAUUUGGUAUUGAAUGUUGCCCAGCCACCCCUAGGAACACCUGUCCAUCACCUCCUGGAUGGAUUCCACUGUUAGACAGCUACAGGGAAUGAUUGGUCACGGGGAAGUCUCUGCGCCAUAAGCCACGAUCCCAGCGCAAAACCCUUACUCAAAUGUCUUCAUUGACUUCGGUAUUUCGUAGUACCUGAGAUUUUAUUUUGAGAUACCAUCAGGGGUCACCAGCCUGGCAGUCACAGAAAACGCAUUUGGCAACUUCCUGCAACUGUUGUGGAAAUGACAGCAGGCCACGGUCCAAGCCAAAAUGGAGAAGCCGGGCCUCGCAGAAGAAACCAGCAGGCAGCUCUGGGAGGCCAUUUGCACAGAGCUUAUUUUGAAGUCUUGGGAUUCAAAUCCCAACUCUGCCUCUGGAUAGUCACAACCCACUGGAUAGAGAAUAGUUCAAGCAGAGUGUAAUUUGAGACUAACAAAGGUGCGCCCAGGAUAUAAGGAAACCACAUAAGCUAAUGUUGACCCAUGAAGCACCCCCUACACCUGACGGGGCUGGCAGGAAGCGGUUACCAGAGCCCAGAAAGUCAGGUGGGGAAGCACUUGAGGGGCUGUGGCCUUAGACAGAGGCAGCCAGGCUGAGGCAUGUGCCUUAGGGGAACACACAUCUCAGCCUCACCCUCCCUGCCUCCUGGGGAACCUUGAGGCCACCAGACAAGGAGCCAUUAAUGCAGUGAGAAGGGGAUCGGAAGCGCUAAGGAAGACACUGGCAGAGCCAUUUAUUGUGCAUCUGAGGCAAGUCACUUCCCCUGCCCAAUCUGUUUCCUUGUCUGUAAAACUGGGAUGUUACCUCACUCACUUGAGGUGAGGAAUAAAUUAUUUAAAACAUAUAAUGGUGGCUCACACCAGUAAUCCCAAUCCUUUGGGAGGUUGAGGCAGGAGGAUCGCUUGAGCCCAGGAGAGAUCAGCCUGGGCAACAAAGGGAGACACUGUCUCUACAAAAAAAUAGAAAAAUUAGCCGGGCGCAGUAGCACAAACCUGUAGUCCCAGCUAUUCGGGAGGCUGAGGCAGGAGGCUCGCUUGAGCCCAGGAGUUUGAGGCUGCAGUGAGCUGCGAUCACACCACUGUACUCCAGCGUGGGGGACAGAGUAAGACUCUGUCUCAAAAAAUAAAUAAAUAAAAAUAAAACGUGGAAAGUACCUAGCAUGAAGCCCAGUAGGAAAAUUUUUUAAAGGCAGUUGUUGUUAUUAUAACUCAAGUGGGGAGAAAUCAGGCUGAGAGAGGUACGUUAGAGUUGGCUGAAAGGUACGACAGCGAGGGAUGUUUGAGGCAGCCUAACAUACACUAUGAUAAAUACCACCACACUCAACAAGCAGCCUCUCUCCCUGUAAAAACAUCAGGUCAACCUGGGCAGAGGCAGAAGACUGCACAUACUGCCAUUUUAACAUCAAGGCAAAAAAAAAAGUUCUCGCUCACUUGGCCCACUCCCAUCUCAACCCUUCCUACCCACACAGUGGGGCCAGUCUAUUUUAGCAAAAGACCAUUUAGUUAAAGGAGGCUGACAAGGAAAGGAUCCAGAUUUCUCCUUUUCUGUCUUUUAAAAAAAGCCACAGAUAUAAAUAAGCCCAAGACCGUCUGUUUCUGCCACCUUCUAAACAGACCUGUGAUGAAUUAAUAUCAGGACCAUGGGAGACUGUGACCGAAGGAUGGGUUAGGCUGGCCGCAGACCCAGCCAAUUCCACAAGCCCAGGCUUUGAAGCCAGUUUGGAAACUAGCCAUCGGGAAACUCCACAAACCUCAAUUUCUCCCAGACAAUUUUGGAGGAAAAACCCAAGUCAGCAAAGAAUAUGGAAAUUACUGAGAAGGUACGAGGUCCACGGAGGCUGCAUCUUAAAGAAUGAUUGCCAUCGGCCGGGCGCGGUGGUUCACACCUGUAAUCACAGCACUUUGGGAGGCCGAGGCAGGCGGAUCAUGAGGUUAGGAGAUCAAGACCAUCCUGGCCAACAUGGUGAAACUCUGUCUCUACUAAAAAUACAAAAAUUAGCUGGGUAUGGUGGUGCAUGCCUGUAAUCCCAGCUACUCGGGAGGCUGAGGCAGGAGAAUCACUUCAACUAGGGAGGUGGAGAUUGCAGUGAGGCGAGAUCAUGCCACAGCACUCCAGCCUGGCGAUAGAGGGAGACUCCAUUUCAAGGAAAAAAAAAAAAAGAAAUUCAAAUUUAACUGAGCAUCCUAUGUUUCAGCUGGCAUCCCAGCUCAGGAAUGACAAGAACAGUGCCGAAAGGGACACAGCUCAAGCUACAGAGGUCUCCAACUGGUGGCCUCCAGGCCAUAUGAGGCCCAUGCAUGUGUGUUGCUCAGUCUUCACAGUUUAUAAAAUUGGAACAGGCUACAAACAUUUCAAAGAACUUUAAAGGAUUUCUUGCCUCUUCAAAAAUGGGAAGCUCCAACCAUGCAGGUAGAAGCUGCCCCACUAUGGGAACAUAAUGGGGACAGAAGGGAACGUGGAAAAGUGAAAACUGAUCACUGACUUGUUAGGAUGGAGAAAUUGUGAAUAAAUCUGUUUAGGGGUUGUUUAUUGCAUAAGGAGUCUGGAAGUGACAGUGUCAGUAGCCCAUGCCUGGAGAACCAGCCCUCUGCAGGCUCCACUGCUGCGGUCCCAGAAGUGCUGGCUGCAGUGUCUGAAAAACUUGCCCAUCUGCACCAUCUCUGCCAGACGGACUUGUACUUCCCUCUUUCCAGGCACAAGAUGAAGGCCUCUUGCCACGGGCUGGAGAAAUCAGUCCCUACAACACCCCUUGCAGACACAGGCUGGAGCUGCAAGUCCUGGGAGAGACCUGCUCUAUCUUCUCUGGCAAUUGUGGCCACUACUAGAGGAGCUCAGGCAGGCAAAAUCUAGGAAAAGAAAAAGAAGAUUGAGCCAAUGGCUAAUACAUAACAGAGCCGGGAUUUGAACCCAAGUCUAGCUCCAGAGCCUAUGUUUGUUUUUAACAUUUUUAAAAAGCACUUUCGGAGGGUGAGGCAGGAGGAUCACUUGAGACCAGGAGUUUGAGAUCAACUCCAGCAACACAGUGAGACCCCUAUCUCUAAAAAAAUUUAAAAAUUAGCUGAGUGUGGUAGCACGCACCUGUAGUCACAGCUACUCAGGAGGCUGAGGUGGGAGGAUUGCUUGAACCUGGAAGGUGGAGGCUGCAGUGAGCUAAGAUCGCACCAUUGCACUCCAGCCUGGGUGACAGAGCAAGACCUUGUCUCAAAAAUAAAUAAUAAAAAAAUUGUCAUACAAUAAAACUAUUUUUUUAUUUUGCUGUACAGUUCUAUAAAUCUGGGUUUUUGUUUUGUUUUGAGACGGAGUCUCACUCUAUUGCCCAGGCUGGAGUGCAAUGGUGCGAUCUCAGCUCACUGCAGCCUCCACCUUCCAGGUUCAAGCGAUUCUCCUGCCUCAGCCUCCCAAGUAGCUGGGAUUACAGGAACGCGCCACCACGCCUAGCUAAUUUUUGUAUUUUUAGUAGAGAUGGAGAGAUGGGGUUUCACGAUGUUGGCCGGGGUGGUCUCAAAUUCCUAACCUCAGGUGAUCCACCCACCUGGGCCUCCCAAAGUGCUGGGAUUACAGGCGUGAGCCACCAUGCCUGGCCCAGUACUAUGAAUCUUAACACAUGUACACAUUCAUGUAACCACUACUGCAAUCAUGACACCGCAAACACUUCCUUGUGCGAUCCCUUUACAUCCACAUCCGCCACCCAUCCUAACUUCUGGCAACACCAUCAUCUCUUCCCUUCAUCAUACCUUUGUCUUUUCCAGAAUGUCAAAUAAAUGGAAUCACACAGCAUGUAACCAUUUGAGGCUGGCUUCCCUCAGUCAGCAUCACAUCUCUGGGGUUCAUCCAAGUUGUUGCACAAUCACUAGUUUAUUCCUUUUCACUCGGAUGAAGAUGACGAUUACUUAUCGGGGGACCUGCCCUGAUAAUCACGUAGGUUCUUUUCUAUUUUCCUAAGCAUUGGCUGGCUUGAGAAAUAAAGGGACAGAGUACAAAAGAGAGAAAUUUUAAAGCUGGGCGUCCGGGGGUGAUAUCACACAUUGGUAGGAUCCGUGAUGCCCCACAAGCCACAAAAACCAGCAAGUUUUUGUUAGGGAUUUUCAAAAGGGGAGGGAGUGUGUGAAUAGGCGUGGGUGACAGACAUCAAGUACUUAACAGGGUAAUAGAAUAUCACAAGGCAAGUGGAGGCAGGGCGAGAUCACAGGACCACAGGACCGAUGCGAAAUUAAAAUUGCUAAUGAAGUUUCGGGCACCAUUGUCAUUGAUAACAUCUUAUCAGGAGACAGGGUUUUGAGAUCAACCAAAAUUUAUUAGGCGGGAAUUUCCUCUUCCUAAUAAGCCUGGGAGCGCUAUGGGAGACCGGAAUUUAUUUCACCUCUGCAAUCUCGACCAUAAGAGACAGGUACGCCCCGGGGGGGCCAGUUCAGAUACCUACCCCUAGGUGCACAUUCUCUUUCUCAGGGAUGUUCCAUGCUGAGAAAAAGAAUUCAGCGAUAUUUCUCCCAUUUGCUUUUGAAAGAAGAGAAAUAUGACUGUUCUGCACGGCUCACCGGCAGUCAGAGUUUAAGGUUCUCUCUCUUAUUCCCUGAACAAUUGCUGUUAUCCUGCUCUUUUUUCAGGGUGCCCACAUUUCAUAUUGCUCAAACACACAUGCUGUACAAUUUUUGUAGUUAACGCAAUUAUUACAGGGUCCUGGAACGACAUACAUCCUCCUCAACUGACAGGAUUAAGAGAUUAAAGUAAAGACAGGCAUAGGAAAUCACAAGGGUAUUGAUUGGGGAAGUCCAUGAAGUCUUUACAAUUGACGUUUAGAGAUUGCAGUAAAGACAGGCGUAAGAAAUUACAAAAGUAUUAACUUGGAGAACUAAUAAAUGUCCAUAAAAUCUUCACAA